rnacentral:rRNA from 1 species
CGCUGGCGGCGUGCCUAAUACAUGCAAGUAGAACGCUGAAGAGAGGAGCUUGCUCUUCUUGGAUGAGUUGCGAACGGGUGAGUAACGCGUAGGUAACCUGCCUUGUAGCGGGGAUAACUAUUGGAAACGAUAGCUAAUACCGCAUAACAAUGGAUGACACAUGUCAUUUAUUUGAAAGGGGCAAUUGCUCCACUACAAGAUGGACCUGCGUUGUAUUAGCUAGUAGGUGAGGUAACGGCUCACCUAGGCGACGAUACAUAGCCGACCUGAGAGGGUGAUCGGCCACACUGGGACUGAGACACGGCCCAGACUCCUACGGGAGGGCAGCAGUAGGGAAUCUUCGGCAAUGGGGGCAACCCUGACCGAGCAACGCCGCGUGAGUGAAGAAGGUUUUCGGAUCGUAAAGCUCUGUUGUAAGUCAAGAACGAGUGUGAGAGUGGAAAGUUCACACUGUGACGGUAGCUUACCAGAAAGGGACGGCUAACUACGUG